AUGCAAUGCACUAUUAAGUCAUGAUGUAACAGCAAUCCCUCACAUAAAUAUCUUACUGGGAAGAAACGCUGCCAGAAACAGCAGAGAAAUUGGAACUGCGGAGAGAUGUAGGAGCUGAAAAGACAUCAGAAACCAAAUCUACGGCCUCUCUCGAAGUCAUGUUCCUGUCGUGGCAUUCUGUCUUUCGCAUAAAGUGAAACCUUAAACAACAAACCUUGACAAUUUUAUUCGGGAUCAGACACUUUAGGAUUGGACAAGAGCAGCUUGAGAUGAGAAAGUAUGAGUCCAAAUUGGAGAAGAAUUAAAAGGAUGGAGCCCCUGAGAGCUGAACUGCAGUGACUCCUAUUUCUCUUCUGGAUCUAGCCACCCAGCAGAGCUAGCAGGUGCUGGACU
rnacentral:lncRNA from 10 species